UAUUUUGCUGGUUUAAAGGAGACUCGCAAAUCGUUUGUCAGUUUCUGAACCUGAACAACUGUUUUAUCAGUAAUUAUAAUUUAUUUCAAUGAAAUGUUAUAACAUGCUUGUAUAAAUGGAAAGUAAUGGUUGCAGGAGCUGGGCAUCUAGGAUAAAGCAUACAUUAGAAAUCUAUGGAUUUGGAUUUGUUUGGCAAGAACAGAUGGUUCGAAGUGAAACGCUAUUUUUAAAUAAAUUUCUUGGUAGACUUAAAGUUUCGUAUCAACAGGACUGGCAUUCUGCACUAAUAAAAGGCACAAAACAUU